rnacentral:rRNA from 1 species
AUUGAACGCUGGCGGCAGGCCUAACACAUGCAAGUCGAGCGGAUGAAGGGAGCUUGCUCCUGGAUUCAGCGGCGGACGGGUGAGUAAUGCCUAGGAAUCUGCCUGGUAGUGGGGGAUAACGUCCGGAAACGGGCGCUAAUACCGCAUACGUCCUGAGGGAGAAAGUGGGGGAUCUUCGGACCUCACGCUAUCAGAUGAGCCUAGGUCGGAUUAGCUAGUUGGUGGGGUAAAGGCCUACCAAGGCGACGAUCCGUAACUGGUCUGAGAGGAUGAUCAGUCACACUGGAGCUGAGACACGGUCCAGACUCCUACGGGAGGCAGCAGUGGGGAAUAUUGGACAAUGGGCGAAAGCCUUAUCCAGCCAUGCCGCGUGUGUGAAGAAGGUCUUCGGAUUGUAAAGCACGUUAAGUUGGGAGGAAGGGCAGUAAGUUAAUACCUUGCUGUUUUGACGUUACCAACAGAAUAAGCACCGGCUAACUUCGUG